rnacentral:rRNA from 1 species
CAGUCGCCACGGGAAUACGUAGGGUGCGAGCGUUAAUCGGAAUUACUGGGCGUAAAGCGUGCGCAGGCGGUUCGGAAAGAAAGAUGUGAAAUCCCAGGGCUUAACCUUGGAACUGCAUUUUUAACUACCGGACUAGAGUGUGUCAGAGGGAGGUGGAAUUCCGCGUGUAGCAGUGAAAUGCGUAGAGAUGCGGAGGAACACCGAUGGCGAAGGCAGCCUCCUGGGAUAACACUGACGCUCAUGCACGAAAGCGUGGGGAGCAAACAGGAUUAGAGACCCGCGUAGUCCCUGUCUCUUAUAC